CGCUCUACCGCCGUUGUACUCGUGUACGUUCGUACAUUUGUAUUUCAUUUACUUCACAUGUUUCGUUUUUUUUUUUGUACAUAUUACUGCUAACCGGUUAAAACCUUUGCCGUCCGAUAAUUUGUUUAAUAACGAAAACGUGGUACUCAACGAAAAAUAAUUAAAGUCCAGACAUAUUUCACCGUGGAAGUCAAUUCAACGUGAGUAUAUUAAUUAUACAUCAAGUACCUACCUACCUACAUACCCACUUGCCUAACGCGAUUAUAACUAAGUGUUUUUAUAGUAUAGAUUAAGUACCCGGAGUAAUUAAUAUUGUGAAAAUUUUGGUAGAUUAUAAUGUAACUAGGCACCACUAUGACUUAUAGGUAGGUAUUUAAUUUACAGUCGGAAAUUGCGUUGACGGGAUCGGGCAGUGCGGUCGACCGAUCGUGCCGCAGACCGGUCCGGCCGUCUGAUUUUCCGCACUAUUUUCUUAGAUACGAACGGUCGCGUCGAUCAGUACGAUAUUCCGGAGGGUAUUCCGAUUUUCCGCCGUCCCUUUUUUCCGAUUCGACCGGAUAAAAUUCGAUAGGACCACGAGGUCCGGCGGACGAACCGUCGGGUUGUGGUUCCCACGUGGGUUACCGUCCGAUCCGAUCCGCGGUUUCGUUUUUCUCUGUUUUUUCGGUGUCCGCAGUCGAUUAACAACAAUCGCUGUAACUUGGACGUUCGGUCGUUCGUUUCGUCCCUCGAAAGUUUGUCGGUCUUCGGUUCGAUCGCCGUCUCCACCAUCCGUCAGUACAUCCACGUGUUCUGCAGUUUUUUUUCAUUUGACGAAAUGUCCGGGAAUAUUCGGAAAAUGAUCCAUAAGUUGACAAUUUCAAAAUCUGCUGCGGGAAAACCGUCCGUCUUGUCUGGUAAAAUAAAAUAAAAUAUCCUAAAAGUUUAUUGUCGUUUGGUUAAUAUUUCAGCGUGCUCGUCCUGUUUUAAUGGUUAAAUUAUGCAUAAAUUCAAAUUCUCACAUUUGGAAUUUUUAAAGUACUUGAAGAAUAACCUGUGACGAUUUAAAAUGAGAAACUACAUAUUGUUUUAAUGAAAAUUGUCCAUCGGAUGGUCUUUCUGAAAAUGUUAACGUACCUAUAUUUUAAUCAAAAUUUAAAUUAAAAGUUUUUGAGUUAUUCUGCUUUAAAUACUAAGGAUUAUAACUGCACAAUUCAAAAUAAGAAAUUAUCUAUAACCAUAAAACAUUAAUAUCCAAUCUUCAAAAAAAAUUAUUAUCCUUUGUAUUUAAAGCAGAAACCUUUUUGUAUACAUUUUGAUUAAAAUCUGUGUUGGUAUUUUCAGAAAGAUCAUCUGAUAGACAAUCAAAAUUAAAGCAUGUAGGUUCACAUUUGAAAAACCGAAAUUGUUAUUGCUACAGAAUAAUCCUUACAUGUUAAGAAAAAUCCUGAUAGAUAUGCAAAAAUAUUGUCAUUUAAUGCACUUGAACUUCUAAAACUCUGAAUUUGAAUUUAUGUCCAAUUUAAAUUAACUUAUAAUAUUUAAAAAAAAAAAAAAAACUAUUCAAUAUAAUUUAUAAUUUAAUUUUAAAAAUAAUAGGUAAUAAUUAGAAUACAAUUAAACCAUUUAAAGGGUCGUUUUAUACAAUUUGUAUUCUUGCAGUACCUAGGUAUAUACAAAAUAAAACUUCCGUUAAUGGUCAUCUCUAUGUAACAGUAAUUUUGUUUGGUCCUGUCAAGUGUUAUGCCUUUUUAUCGGACACCUUUAAAUAGUGACCAUUAUUUCCAGUGCCUUUAUAUGGUAACCAUUAUAUGGAAGUUUUACUUUAGUUAUAUAUUAUGUAAUAUAUAUUUGAUAUGUGAAAUUAAAAAAUAAAUACUAACUCACUAUUAUUUAUUAACCUUGAUUAAAUACUGACAUAACAACAUAAGACUGAACAAUUUAAAUCUUUGAAAAUUGUCAAGAUUACAGUUCUAGAUAUAUUAUAUGAUAUAUGCCUAGGUGCGUUUAUUAUUUACUAGUGUAGUGAGCUCAGGACUGACGCUCUGUGCUCGUACGUUUUAUUUAAUGACGGAACUCCGUCGAUGUCUGCUGGUGGUAGAGGAUUGAGAUGGAUAGUAAAAACAGUUUAGGAAUUCAUAUAACUAAUUACUUUAUUUUACAACUCUUAUGAUUUAAAAAAAUAGAAAAUGUACCAGAGGUUCAUCUGCAAGGGCCUGAAUAUGGACCGCUCUUAACAUGAGACGGUGAUGACGAUCGGGGAUCUGUAACCGUUCUGUCUUAGAUGUCUAACAGGACCCGUAUAUAUAUCGAUCAAUCGGACGCUACGUGAUUCCUGAAGGUUUAUUUAAUAGAAUCAUAAGGAAAAAAAAAUAGGUACAUAGCGCGUGUCAACCCCUGCGACAAUUGGGUAUUAUUGAUGUAGGUAUUGGUCUCGACAUGCUUCUAAUUAUACAGUUUAAUUGGGUUUAUUACACUAGUUUAGUGUAUAAUAAAAUUAUAUUCUACACUAGUUACCAGGUUUCUAAUUAAAAUAACAAUACUGAAGUGAAGGUUUUGUUUUUGUUAAAUUUUAUUAUAUUUUUUCGGGUUUGGUGAAUUGCGUCCCCGAACAUUUUUUUUAUUUAUAUGUAUUAUAGAAUACAUAUUGAAAACUUACAUUACAACAGAUGCAAGUUUCCCUCUAAAUUAAAAUAAUCUUUAAUUACUAGUCAUCUAAAUAUUCACAACUUGAUAUUUUAAAAAAUAUUCAGUCUGAAACGUACAUUACAGUACGAAGUAAUGGAUGAAGAAAAUCCUGCCAAAUUGUUGAAAAAGAAAAAGAUAUUUGAGGAAAAAUGAUUGGAUAUACAAUAAUUAAUUAUUGAUCAGAUUCAAAUACGUUAAAGCUGUUUCAUUUAAAUGUAUACUUUUUUAAAAUAUAUAUUUUUUUUUUAAUCUAAAUGUUUGACGAAUAAUUGACAAACAAAUUACCUAUUAUAUACAACAGGAAUAUAAUUCACUUAGUUUUAUGAAAAUUUACCUAACACCUAUUUUUCAUUACUAAAAAUGUAAUUUUACAAACUUUAAAAAUUAACCCGACAUAAUUGCAUUCUAUCUAGGAAACUAUUUAUUAUUUUACAAAUUAAUUGUUAGUAAUUAACAUUUUUUUUUUUGUACUCUUGUACCUUCAAUGCAUAUACAAGGCAUAUUUAACUAUUUUUUAUUGCUUAUAUUUCUGAUCAUUAUUUCUAUAUAUUGCUGAUCAUUUGAGAAGUUUUUAAUUGACUUAAGGGAAACAUUGUAGUAUUAGGAUAAUUUUGGUGCGUUCGUAUACAAUAUACCCUUUUGUAGUCCAUUCCGAUUUAACUUUUAAUCUGUCAGUAGAUCACAUUAUUAACAAAUAAAAGAGUAUAGGUACACCCAAUGAAUUUAAGAGAAAAAGAAAAUUAAUAAUAAACAGAUAUUUAAAAAAAAAAAAAAAAAUAUAGAUAAGAGGUUUUUAAAUUGUUUUUUGCGUACUGUUUAUAUAUAUAUAUAUUAUGGACUAAGAAUUGAAUUAUUAAAAAUACUAAGUGUAUAUAAUGUAUAAACUAAUAUAAAAUGGUAUUAAAUCUAUUAUAAACAUUAGUAUUUAUUGUCUGUACUACUGUUAUAUAAUUGCUGAUUUAUGUAUAACAAAGCUAAGUCAGCUGUAGUGUUGUAAUUAGCAUAGGUAUUUGUCUUAUUAUUUCAUUUCAAAGUAGUUUUGUCAGCCUAUCCAUCAUUGACCAUAACACCAACCAUUUAUUUUUGUUUACUGAAUUAUGUUCUUUAUAAUAUUAAUGAAUCAUUUUCUUAAAUAUAUUAUUGUAAAAUAACACAUUUAUUUUUUAUUUUUUAUUAACAUAUGAAAAUAAAUACUAUUUUUGUUUUAAAUUUCAGAAUAAAUUAAAUGACUAUUCUUCAGGAUGUUUCUGAAAUCGAGGAAAAAGGAGUAUGCUAUGUGGAAUCAAUUAAGAUACGUGGAUAUAUAAUUGGAUUUUCAAACUCAUUGAAAAUUUCACCGAGAAGAAAAUAUCAAAAAAUGUAUACACCCAAAAGAAAACUUAUCAUGAUGUUCAUGUUAAAUUGAAAAAAAAAAAAUGUAAAACCAGAUUCAUUUAUGGAUCAAGAAUCAAAACUUGGGGGUCGGAAACUUAAUAAUGCCUUUGCUGACAUUUUUUAUUCUGACAGGCUCCUGGAAAAAUUAUUAAGAUGCUCAGAGAUUUAAAGAGUGAGUUAAAAUGUUAUAGUGAUAAUGUGUUAAAGAAUCUGGUGUCAUUUCAUCUUAUGAAGCUAUUAAACUAUCCUGAAACCCUUAUUUUUUGAAAUCAUAUUCCAUUUAUUUGAGUCACAUAAAUUGAGUAUAAUUUUAAAGAAUGUAAAACAAUUUCAAGAAACAGAUUAUUAACUUCAUUUAUCAGAAAAUUUAUGAAAUUAUAUAAUACCGUUUCAUUUUAAAUAAUACCCUACGUACCCUUUUAUUCGCUCAUCAUCUUAAUAAUUUUUUCAGGCUGCCUGUCAGAAUAAUAGAUGUUAUUGGAAAUGUAUUAUUAAGUUUCCCUCCUCUAAGUUCUGAUUCUUGGUCACUAGUUUUAAUUAUUGGAUGUUCGCCAUAUGUUCAAAUGGUUUUGUUCAUUUCUAAUAAGUAUUCAAUAAAUACG
rnacentral:lncRNA from 1 species